UACGUAGGGACCGAGCGUUGUCCGGAAUCACUGGGCGUAAAGCGCACGUAGGCGGAUUGUUAAGUCAGGGGUGAAAUCCUGGAGCUCAACUCCAGAACUGCCUUUGAUACUGGCGAUCUCGAGUCCGGGAGAGGUGAGUGGAACUGCGAGUGUAGAGGUGAAAUUCGUAGAUAUUCGCAAGAACACCAGUGGCGAAGGCGGCUCACUGGCCCGGUACUGACGCUGAGGCGCGAAAGCGUGGGGAGCAAACAGG
rnacentral:rRNA from 1 species